rnacentral:rRNA from 1 species
GACAGAGGGUGCAAACGUUGUUCGGAAUUACUGGGCGUAAAGCGAGUGUAGGCGGUUUGGUAAGUCGGGUGUGAAAGCCCUGGGCUCAACCCAGGAAGUGCACUCGAUACUGUCAGGCUAGAGUAUCGGAGAGGUUGGUGGAAUUCUCGGUGUAGAGGUGAAAUUCGUAGAUAUCGAGAGGAACACCGGUGGCGAAGGCGGCCAACUGGACGAAUACUGACGCUGAGACUCGAAAGCGUGGGGAGCAAACAGG